AGCAGUUCCUCCUGAAGGUCAGAGAUUGCAGCAUCUGAGGGCCUCUUCAAAAGAAGACGUAGUUGAUGAAGGCGUUCUGGAGCAGGACCAGAAAGACCACGACCAAGCAGCCUUGAGAUCUUAGGCAGCAUCUCCCUCAGACAUCCACCAACCACUGGACCACAUCUCCAAAGUUCUGCCAGGCCAGCUCAGCUUCCCCUCAGAAGAAGUUCUGCCAGAUGAAGGAGCCUUUUGAGAGGCAGCCGGCAUCGUGAUUGGACUGUACUUUGGUCUGUUCCAAUCCAGCUUCAGCUCCAGAGACGGCAGGCAGGACGAGUCAACGGAGGCCGGGUGGACGAAGGCAUGCAGCUGAGUACAAUCCAGAAAACAACAGAGGAGGAGUGCAGCGGUACAAUAUACAAUAUACAUCGUAUAUUGUACAAAUAACAAGUCAAAGCAAAGAGACAUACAUUGUAGAAUUGUAGUAAUUGUGGGCUGACUGAUUCACUGAUUAUCAGUAUUUUAUUUUUUACUGAUUUACGGUAAUAAAUCCAUUUAAAAAUGGCGCUACUUUGGCUCUGAACCUUAAUCUACCUGUGGUCACUCUGUCUUCUGGAGUGAUUUGAUUGGUUAUACGUCACGAAUAAAACUCCUUUAACUUAACAUCUGUAAACAAAACAAAAACGUAUCAACAAAGUUUUCUGUUAGAGUUUGUGUUCUUCUAAGUUUAACUCCAAGAUUUUAAAUACUUUCAUUUACUGCAAAUGAAUAUCGACUCCAAAUGUCUCACUAAUAAUCAUUAUCAGCCUUAAAAACCCACAAAACACCCCUCUAUACUCGACCACACUUAGUACAGUCCAGUUCCCCCUUCUAUAAAUCUGCUUGGAAUCGUCCACUUCCUGUUUGUCAAAGUGCCCUUCUACCUGGACAGGAUUUGUUGGAGCUCAUGCAGCAAACAUUUUGGGUAACUGCACUUUAAUAUGGAUGGAUGACACUGAAUUAGAGUCUGUUUUAAUGAGACUGAGUUAAGAUGUGUAGCUCUGUCAUUAAAUAGGAAAUUAUUUCUCUGAAUUCACAGAGAAAAGUCUGAAAUGUUUGCUAGGUUAGCGUCCCACAUGUUCUUUGGCUCAGCUAAAGCUAACUCUCUCCAACUUCUGGAUCUCUUGAGUUGCUUGUUGUUAAAAUAUCUUGCUAGAGGUGCUGAAGCUCAGAAAGUCUGAGAUGUUUGUUCAAAAUAAGCUUAUUCUUAAGUCUUAUCUGAACUGUCCUCUUUUGUUUGAACUUUCCCUAAACUUAGGAGUUAAUGACAGAGCAGCACAUCCAGACUCAGUCUCAUUUAUGUAGAGAUUAAACUUCAGUGUCAUUCAUUGAUGUUAAAGUGCAGUUUUUCAAAUGUUUGUUGCACAUGCUCCCGACCAAACCAGUCCAGGUGGAAGACAAUGUGAAGAGAAAGCUCCAGAGGAUGAAUAUCACACAUUUACGUUGGAAAUAAAUGUCCUUUAAUUAGA